UACGGGGGGAGCAAGCGUUGUUCGGAUUUACUGGGCGUAAAGGGCGCGUGAGGCGCCACGCAAGUCGACUGUGAAAUCUCCGGGCUUAACCCGGAAAGGUCAGCCGAUACUGCGGGGCUAGAGUGCAGAAGGGGCAACUGGAAUUCUCGGUGUAGUAGUGAAAUGCGUUGAUAUCGUUCGGAACACCAAUAGCGAAGGCAGGCUUCUGGGUGCCACCUGACACUGCUAGGACGAAAGCGUGGGGAGCGAAUGGG
rnacentral:rRNA from 1 species